GCUGGGUGUGGUGGUGCAUGCCUGUAGUCCCAGCUACCUGGGAGGCUGAGGUGGGAGGAUUGCUUGAGCCCAGGAGGUUGAGGCUGCAGUGGGCUGUGAUCAUGCCACUGUACUCCAGCCUGGGUGACAGAGCAAGAUCUUGCCUCAA
rnacentral:SRP_RNA from 1 species